rnacentral:rRNA from 1 species
GACGAACGCUGGCGGCGUGCUUAACACAUGCCAGUCGAACGGAAAGGCCCUGCUUUUGUGGGGUGCUCGAGUGGCGAACGGGUGAGUAACACGUGAGUAACCUGCCCUUGACUUUGGGAUAACUUCAGGAAACUGGGGCUAAUACCGGAUAGGAGCUCCUGCUGCAUGGUGGGGGUUGGAAAGUUUCGGCGGUUGGGGAUGGACUCGCGGCUUAUCAGCUUGUUGGUGGGGUAGUGGCUUACCAAGGCUUUGACGGGUAGCCGGCCUGAGAGGGUGACCGGCCACAUUGGGACUGGGAUGCGGCCAGAACUCCUACGGGGGGCAGCGGUGGGAAUUUUUCCACAAUGGGCGGAGGCCGGAUGCAGCAACGCGGGGUGGGGAAUGACGGCCUUCGGGUGGUAAACGGCUUCGCCUGUGACGAAGCGUGAGUGACGGUAAUGGGUAAAGAAGCACCGGCUAACUACGUG